rnacentral:rRNA from 1 species
ACACGACUACAUUAGAUACCCGCGUAGUCCCAGCCCUAAACGAUGCGCGUUAGGUGUAUCGGUGACCACGAGUCACCGAGGUGCCGAAGGGAAACCGUGAAACGUGCCGCCUGGGAAGUACGGUCGCAAGGCUGAAACUUAAAGGAAUUGGCGGGGAGCACCACAACGGGUGGAGCCUGCGGUUUAAUUGGAUUCAACGCCGGAAAUCUUACCGGGACCGACAGCAACAUGAAGGCCAGGCUGAAGACUUUGCCGGAUUAGCUG